GAGAGUGGACUUUAUACAGCUGGUGAGAGGGAGUCAAUGAAGAAUGUAUGUUACAAGUUUUACGUGAUGACGGUAUUUUCAAUUCGUGGUUGAUUGAAUCCAUGGAUACAGAACCCACUGGCAUGAAGGACUGACUGUGAGGAACUUGAGCAUCCGUGGAUUUUAUCAUCUGUGGGAAUGUCUGGGAACGAAUCCCCUGCAGAUACCAAGCGACGACUAUACUCCAACAUACACCACUUUGUAUAUCAAUUCGUGAUUCUUUGACCUCUUGAAGUCGGUACAUGAACAUUCGGUGAAGAACCCCCAUUUCCAUUAGAAGAUCCCCAAAGCUUCAAACAUCUCUUACAAUUGUAACAUAUUCAGAGAUGCAGAAGCGAAGUGAGAAUCAGCAACGCCUUACAAAAACAGAGUGGUACCUCCAUUACAAAAUAUGUCUCUGCAUAUUUAGAUAUGUGUCUUUCUGUUUUACCUACUUAGCAACAAUAUGGUAAAAAUGUUUGGCAAAUGCUACUGAAAGAAUGAAAUAUAUAAUCAUGCCUUAGGAGCUUUCUGCCUUAAGGUUUUGCUGAACAAGAAGGAAAUCAACAUUUAUUAAGUAUCUUCUCUGUGCCAGUGACUAUGUUAAACACUUUUAGGCAUUACCUCAUUUCUUCUUCAAAACAGUGCCAUAAUAUAGGUAUGACAACUGCCCUUUUAGGAGCUGAAGAAAUUGAGGGGUUUGUGGCGAUGACAGAUAAAAAUUGAAACCCACAGUACUGGGUUGGGCAUCCCAAGACAUUAAAAACUACUGAAGCUAUGCAGAUGCAUCUUCCAGGCAAAGAUGAUAUGAUGAUAGCACUGGACGAUUAUGCAAACCUUACAGCCCUUCCAGAAAUGUGAACUACCCAGCACCAUGAACUGAACUCAGCGAUGUUCAACAAUGGCCCAAACUCUCUGAUACAGGGAAUGGGUAAAUGAACUGGAACUAUGUCACUACAACAUGGUUUACAACAAGAUAUGACUAUCACAGUGCAUCAGCACCAUGCAAGGUUCAUAGCCAUCAAUAUUUGUCCUUGCACCUGGUAACAUCAGCAAUUUGGGGAAUUAUCAAGUUCAUGGCAAAUAAGCCAUCAAGCAUUUCAAGAAUUUAUUUAACCAAAGCAAGGUACGUGAAUGCUGACCGCAUGCGCUAAACUUUCAUGUGCUGUUCAUUUUACCUGACUGGGUCAGACUGACCUCAGAAGAGCAAAGGGCAGAAUCUGACGCUGAGUCACAUAAAAAAGGGGCAAAUGAGUCCUGAAAUACUUCUGUUCAUCAUGUUAGUGAAGUAAGUUAAUAAACAAUUCCUUUGUAGUUAGCUGAUUUCCACAGGAAAUAUAAAACAGAGGUCAUUUAUAAGUCAAAUAGUAUCAUCCUUAUUUAAUUAUAGCUUGAUAGAUAUAAAAUUGGCUUAUCUCAUUUACUUGAAUAAGUUACACUUCUACAAUGAUGAUGAAAUUUACUUUAGUUUUUUCUAUUCAGUGGUCAUCAGUGGAAAGAACCUUACAUUAAUCAGCUACAGAAGGAACUGAAUUUUUAUUGGUGGAGUUAAUUUAAUUUUUUAACCAGUCUUUUACUUUUUUUUUUUAACUAGUUCUAAACAUAUCUAAUAAUAUCUCCUAAUAAAGUAAUGAUCUUUUGUCUUCAACAGUGGGUGAUUUUAAUGUUUUUGUUUUUAGAACAGGAAAACUUGGAACAUGCUUAUCAAAAAUUUACAGCAUUACAUAAUCAGUAAUUGCAUGGACAUGGUCCCACUAGAAUUUUCCAACUGUGUUGCAUACAACAAAAAUAUUCUUGUAAGUUGCAUGAAAGAUUUUAGACUUCAUAUAACAGUAUAAUCAUUUUGAGCAGUUCGACAAUAUUGAAGAAUCCAUCAAAGGUAUUUUUUAAUAUCUUCAUUAAAAUACAUUUUAAAGCAAUGAUAAAAUUUCCGUUAGGUACUAUUUUUUUCAGUUUUAAAAGAAAUAUAUUCACUGAGAAAUGUGCAUUUUAACAAAUAUUUCACUGCAGACACUUAUUUUGUUGAAGAAGUGGUACUAUGAAGUCCUGUCAUAGUACUACCUGGCAUUAGGGAAGUGGGAAGAGUGUAUUCCUUGAUCUCUGCAGCUCUUUGCAAAUGAUUUUAUAAUAAAGGAGUUACAUUUAAGGGUAACUCGGAGCCAAGACCUGUUUCACAAAUGGUGCUGGUUUUAGCAAGCAAAGCAUAAAACUUCAGUGCCAUUUGUUAUACUGGCUACUGAGGUAGUAAACAAAGUAUGUACUUACAAAACAUCUUCAAUUCUCCUAUAAUGUCAAAUAUGACAUAAGACAGGGAAGUUCUCAGAAAGCUGAGCUUAGCUACUAUAUAUUAUAGAGGUGAAAGCAAGGGGACUGGGGACAGAGGUCUUGUCAUAUAUCCAGAUUCAGAAGUCACCGUUUAAUGAUUUGGGGAAAAUCUCUUUAAAUUCUCAGAGCCUCAGUUUUGUUAUCUAUAAAAUGGAAAGUGGUAAUGAUGAUAAUGAUAAUAAUAGCCAUUCUUUCUCAGCAAGCAAGUAUGAAGCUCAAAUAAUAUGUGGGCACUUAGCAAGCUGUUAACUGAUAUAUAAAUGUAGUUUAUUAUUAACCCAACUUUUAACUUCCAUCAGCCAAGCACCACUCUCUGCCUUCUACUCCCAAUUCCCAUCAUUGAGAUUCUAUGUAAGAUAUUAGCAAAAUUCUGGCUUUCCAGGACUUUUUUUUUUUUAUUGCAAGGACUGAGGCUGGAGCUCCACUUAAGUGGUUUGAUCCAAACUGGAAAAGCAACUUCCAGCAAGGAACAUCCAGAUAAACCCUUUGCGGAACAAAAGAGUGGGCCCCCUCCUGACCACAAAGAUGGAACCCGCUCUCCUUGAUACAAUCCACGAAUUUACAUCUUUUAAUCGGCUGUCCACUCAGGCCUAGGCGUAGUCAGAAAAUGACACCCUCCACACAUGUGUAAGCAGAAAUUAGCUCAACCACGGCUGACCCUAUGUAGUUCUGGGUUUGACUGGGGAGCACUUUCAAACUCCUAUACUUCCGACGAAACUCACUGGAGCUUUUAAGUCACACAGUUCAAUAAUUUGUAUCCCACCUUCCUGGAGUGUAUCUUCCCUGCUACUCAUGAAAAGUACAACCACGAGCCAACACACGCCUGGUGCGUCAGCAGGACUUAAACUGUCUGACUGGUGGGUGAGGUCGGGGAGUGUAGGGUGGUGGCGGGCAUGAUCUGUGUGCAGUGUGACAGAGUAGGAGCAGCCAGGAGAAGUUGGGUAACAUGCACUCUGACCAUUAUUUCAAGCCAUCGGAUCGCAAGGUUGUUGGUAAAUGCUAGGGAGAAAAGCAGAUUUUUAGUACCGCUUUAUGAAACCCCUUGUGUCCUUUCCAAGGAACUGUACUCAAGCAAUCAUAAAUACUCUGCAUACAGUAUGUGGUACCAAGGGCAUUUUAUCCUGGGAAAACAGUAAAAUAAGAUCACUACAGAGCUGAGGUUCUUCUAACUCAAGUUCAGUUGGGGUGGGAAACCACGUCCAUGUGCCAGUACAGAUUUAAAUGAUCUAUCAUCUGCCAGAGAGGAAAACAGAAAAUGAAAAAAACACAGGCCCAUCAUGAACAGGGUUACAUAUAUCAGCUCAUCCUUGGAGACUUAGACUUGCAGUCUGUUUCAUGUGAACACAUAUCUUCACAACCCGCAUCUCCUGUUGACAUUGAAACAUUCACACGUCAUCUAUAUCAGGCGCACCAUGCCUCCAACUGAAAUGGUAUUCAAAUCUGGAGCAUCAAGACUGAUACUCAAUUGUCAACUGCCCACCAGGAACUUCUAAGGGUCUGAAUCAAAGUAUAUGAAACCACUGGAGGAACCACAGCAUUUUCAUAUCCUGUACAUCAAACUUGGGUCACUUUAAAUUUAAAAUUUCAUUAUUGUUGCCCUCGGGGUUAUACUUUCCCGAUUUUUGUCUUUUUCUUUCGAUGCAGUCACUGCAAUUGAUCCAACUGCCUGAUACCACAGAACAUAGGAAAAGUCAGGGAAAAUACUGGGAUGGGCAGUGGAACAGUCAAGAGGAGCAAUGGUGAGCCUCCUCAGAUAUCUCUGCCAGACCACUAAUGGUGACCAGGCCACAGUGUGAAGGCAACAUUAGCAGAACCAGGCAAAGCUGCACACUUUAGUAAAAAACUAAUGCAGCUGCCAAAUUGAAAAUAAGUAUGGUCUACUUUCGAUUAUCCACAAGUGGUUUAACCACACGGCCUCCUUCUUCCUCUGGCUCAACCUCAGUCUGGGCUGCAACCCAGACACUGAGCAGGGUGGGGGUCUGCAGGUCUGAAUGCAGUGUCUGUGCCUGAAGAUACAGUCCCAACUAUACUGAAUAGUAAAUUUUCUUUUAUGCAUCAAACCACAAAGUUCUCUUUUAUCAAUAAGGACAACUGCAAUGUAUAAAAUGAAAUUGUUAGUAAAAACGAUGUUUUACAGCCUCUUUUUAAUGUUAUAGAAAAUGAGCUUCUUUAAAAUUCACAAGCAGAUGUUUAGUAGAUGAUAGAAAACUUUAUAAAUUUUAUUCAUUAAUUCAAUUAUUCAAAAAGCUUUAAGAAGUCCUUACCACAUUAUCUGCUGGACAUAAAGAUGAAGACAAUUCAUGGCUCACAGACCAUACUGCAUAAUAAACUAGAAUUCAAAACUCAUGCUUUCUAAAAUCUAAAAUAUCCUUAUAGAUUAAUAUUACACUGUCCUUGGAGUAAAUGUAAUUUAUUUGUUAAUUGUCUAGAAAAAUAAGCUUUAGUGUGUCUCAAAGGUGACAUCUUAGAAAAUUUUCAGUGGAGUAAAGGUGAAAUGUUAGCACAGAUGGAAUCUGUCUUUGAUGUUCUGCCCCACCUGUGCCCUUAAGCACUGAAAGUUCCUUGCUUGCUUAUCCCUCUUUUAAAAGCAGGCCCCUAUGCUAUCACCCCUACUUAAAAAUCCACAAACAACCCCUUUCUGCUGCAACUACAAAUCCAACAACCCAAUUUGCUAAUUUAAAUCCACACCCUAAGCGCAUAAGACUCAUGAAGACUAAAACUUCUAAAGGAGUUUUCUCACAUUUGAAAAAUAGCAACCAAUCCCAGCACUUUGGGAGGCCAGGCGG
rnacentral:lncRNA from 1 species